rnacentral:lncRNA from 1 species
CUCUGCAGCCACGGGACCCCCAACAGCAGCCUCACAGAGCCUGCCCCGGCCACCCUAGUCUGGGCUAACUGUCCUGCCUUCUCCUCCAAGAUUCCCUUGCCUGGGUCCCUCCUCCCUCGGCCUCACCACACUCCUCUGGGGACCCUGUGCUUGGACUCCACCCUUUCCUGUCCAGACCACUGUGAAGGCCUUUAGUCACCUCCUAGAGAAGCAAGAUUUUCAGCCCUGGCUUUCUACCCCCACACCCUACAGGACGUUUGAAAUCAGGAAGGAGUGUGGGUUGGAUCCACGUUUCUGUUCAUACCAGGCAGGCACAUCGGAAGGCUCACGGUCAGAGGAUGCUGGGACAAACGCCACGAGAGGUUCCUUUUUGUCUGGCUCACCCAGAAGAGAGGCUCCUCUCCUCCCUUCCCUGCAGCACAACGGCCUGGCUGGCACCCAAAGGGCAGCCGGCAUGGGCUGACCUCAGAGGAGCAAGGCGUGUUUGCAGCUCUGCCGCUCACAUCCACAGUGGCCAUGACAACAGGUGCAGCACCAUCCAUUAAAGCCCUGUGUCAUUUCACUUAAUUCUCACAACGACCCCCGGAGAAAGGGACUACUAUCCCCAUUUUCCAGAUGAAAAAGGAAAUUGGUCCUUAGAGUGAUCAUCCACCCAAGGCUAGUGACAGGGCUCAGAUUGGAACCCAAGGCCCUCCAAGAUCUCAAGUCACAGACAAAGAAAGCCCAUCUCUGACUUGGCAGGGGAAGGGGGAGGUCACACUGGGAGAGCUGGAUGUUGAUUCUGAAGGCCUCCCCCAGUAAACCGCUCCAACAACAAAAAGGGGCUUUCUGUACAUUAUCUGCGAAAAGCCAAGUGAGGGGGAGGGAGGGGAAAGCAAUCAAAGCAAAGAUCAAUUGUGUUGCAGACAAUGUGGCAAGAAGACAGAUCUUGCUGGAAAUUCCUUCUGACUGGACUCUGCCAGGAUCAGAGUAUUUUUCAUUCCAAGAUUAAGCAAAAUUCUUUCCCUGUCAUAACCUCCUACCCAUCUGUGUCCAAACUCCCACUAUCAUUUUUACACCGUGCACAUUUUAAAACCUGUUUUGCAGCUUUUUCUCUGUGUGUGUUAGUUGACGCUAACCUGCCUCCAGCUUUAAGAAAAGCAGAGAAGCACGAGAGGCCCCAGGAGGCACCUGGGCUGGGUGAGCCUCAGGCUGGGACCCUGGCAGGACAGUGGCUGGGGUCUAGGGCAGCUGGGACCCUGCUUGCUGGCAGGGGCAGCUGCAGCCGUGAAGCUCAGAGACCCCACGGCCUGGCCUGGACAGAAAUGGAAAACAGAUGGGAGAAGAGAAUGGGAAUUUCUUAAUAAGGGAUUGGAUUUGGGAAGUGAAGGGCGAGCAGAAACUAGGAUUGUGAGGUCUCCUGGUUGGGGUGGCUGUGUGGUGGUGCCAUGUCGGUGGGAGAGAGAAGCCAGUCACUGGGUGGUGGAAAUGGUGGUGAAGAGGUGUUUGGUGGAUGGGAGGAAGCAGGGUAGGGUCCAAGCCUGUUCAAUGAGAGGGGUCAACAGCAUACACAAGGGAAGGAGCCCAGUCUGGAGUAAUGGAUUUGUGGGAGAGAAGUCUCCCGUUGGAGGGGGGAGACUGAAGCCAUGGGAAUGGGUGAGUUCCACCCAGAGACAGACCCAGGAAGAGAGCCCAGGAAGAGAAGGAAGCCAAGGGCAGGGUUCCAGGGGCUGCUGACUUUCAGGGCAAGCCAGCAAAGAAGAUUGGGAACCAAACAGUUAGGAACAUAAGAGGGACCGGAGAUGUAGCAUCAUGGAAACCAUGGCAACAAGAGCAGGCAGCAGCACUGAACGUCACCAGCGGAGACUGCCGUGAGAUGGAACCAAAGUCCUUGACUUGGCAACAGGGACUUCUCAGAACAGUUUCAGUGGCCUGUAUGGGUGUUAGGAGGGGAGGAAGGAGCCAAGUGACCCGGGAAAGUAUUUUUUAUGCAUUUUCCUACUGACUUCUUAGCCUUGGGAAACAGGAGCUGUUGCCACUUGUGUUUUACCAAGGAGGAGGUGGAGGCUGGUGGGGAUCAAGUAACUUGCAGCAGGUCACGUGCUGGGAAGGGAGGGCUGGGCCUCCAACCCCAUCUGCCCAUCGUCAAGGUGCACGGCCUUCUUAGGAGGAAGGGAGGCAUCGCUGCGUAGGAGGAGGCCUUGGCAGAUGUUAGUUGGAGAGAGAAGGCCAAGAACAUCCACCGUGGGGUGGGAGAUGAGAUGCUCCACCGAGCAGGCUGAGGGCCCAGCCAUGGCUGGAAACCCAGCCCCUUGGCAAGGUUGACACUGCCAUUGUCCCACCAUCCUUGGCAGGGAUGACUGAGUGGCUACAGCCUCCCAGAGGGCCCAAGUCUUCCGGACACUGCAUCUCUCUCUCGCUGUACAGCUCAGCUGGGUGACGGCGGCUGCUCAUGAUGAGUCAGGGCAUCACGGGGACUCUGCACAAGAUGCUAACCGAGCUCUGCCUCUUGGGCCUGCGAAGCUGACUACGAACCAUGUCUUUAGCACAAAUGUGGCCAGUUCAGUACAAACUUGUCCCAGAUGAAAAGACGGGCUCAAAACGCAACCUUUCUGACAACAGAUGGCCUUCCAGCGGGCUGGGGCUGUGCGCAUGUGUCUCUGCCUGACAAUGGUCCCUGUGAAGCCAGACUUCCUUUGGGGGGCCAAUGCCUUUCAUUCUCUGGGGGAGCGGAGGAGCCUGGAGGAGCCAGGGUGGGCUUCUGCAGCACCCUUAGCAUGGGGGAGGCACACGCAACACCCAGGUGCCCAGAGGCCCUCACAGCCCAGAAGGAGCGAGUGAGUGAGGCUCCUGCAUGUGGAACGAAGCUCAGCACCGCACUGGACACAACCAAAUGGCCAGUGAGGGCCUCGGAUUUCAAUCAGACCGUCAGAGGCGCCCAGUGCUGGGAGGCCAAAUGUGGAAGAGAGUGGCUAGCAGUGGGUGGUGAGAGCUGAGCUUUGGGAGAAAGUGCUGGGGAGCGGGCACCCCAGAAUCACUUUGGAAAGCAGGGAGCAUCGUGCUGGGUGGAGCACGCUGUAGAGAUGUCUCCAACAGGCCUCGGGGCUGGCCUGGCCUCUGCAGCCUCAUUUUUUCCUGGUGUUUGCUGCUCUCCAGGCAGCACUCUUCCCCCCGGGGCUCUCCCUGUGAGUGAGGAGUGGCCUCUAAGGGCCCUUCCCUGGCCUGUCUGGCUCCCAUCACUUCAAACACUGGCCCGCGAGCCCAGUACUUGCACAUUUGGAAAUGUAAGUGCCCAGAAUAAACCUGCAGAGACGCUAUUCAAACAGCAAGGCCGAAAUCAACAGAUUCAACUUGAAACGUAAAACGCCAAAAGCAAAUGUCUAAGCAGCUGUAUUUGUUCUGGAAAUAUUGCUGCAGUGGUUUGACCGGCAAAAUCAAGUGUCCUGUUAAUAGUGAACAGGCUCCUGGCUAACACGGUGAAACCUUGUCUCUACUAAAAAUACAAAAACUUAGCCGGGAGUGGUGGCAUGUGCCUGUAGUCCCUGCUACUCAGGAGGCUGAGGCAGGAGAAUAGUUUGAACCUGG